rnacentral:tRNA from 1 species
UGGGGUGUAGGUCAAGGGUAGACCGGCGGACUUUGGCUCCGCAUGCUGGUGGUUCGAAUCCACCCGCCCCAG